UUCUUAUUGUAGCAACACACUUUUGGAGGGAAGGCAAUCCCGCGCUGUGUUAGCUAAGUUUUCAUGUCAUCGGGUGUAGUUCAUAAAGUUUGAAGCGUAUAUGUUAGGAUGGUAACGUUAUAAUAAUUAAGGAUGAAGCGUGAAUUCAUGCCAGGAAUAAUAAGUGUGAAGUUUGAUUUCCUCCCUUCUGUAAUAAGCAGCCAAUGAGUUUCAUCAUCUGUCCUGAGGAAGGGUAUUUCCAUAGAGGAGGUGCUUUGCAUUGGCAGCUCAUGCUUCAGUGCUCUGGGAGUGUUUAUAACCCUGUGAGUUUCAGACUGCAGGACUGAGAUCUGUCCUUCAACAAAACAGAAACCACGACAACCAUGACUCUGAUCACCAUCUUCAUCUGGACACUGGUCUGCUGCUGCCUCAAAGGAUCCAGAGGUCAGGUGACUGUGACUCAGCCUCCUGUAGUGACAUUUUCUCCAGGAGACCCCGUCACUCUGACCUGUAGAACCAACCCUAAAGUGCGCAAAUGGGAUAGCGGAAAUGAGUGUGCAUUCUGGUAUCAACAGAGACCUGGAGAGGCUCCUAAACUCCUGAUAAAAUACGUAAAGACACGGCUAGAUGGGAUUCCUGCUAGAUUCAGUGGCAGUGGGUCUGAGAGCGACUUCACUCUGACCAUCAGUGGAGUCCAGGCUGAAGAUGCAGCAGUUUACUACUGGAAUCAGCGCUGAGACAGAUUCAUCAUGAAUUCAACAGGAACCAACACUGAGCCAGAAUCAUCAUAAAUUCAUCAUGAUUCAACACUGAGCCAGAUGGACGACCUUCAUCCCAGUCUAGAAUACCUCCAAGGUCACUGACAGGUCAGCCAGUGGCAAAGGUCAACACUUCCAAAGUCACAUGCUCAGACACACAUACACACAACCUCCUAAUGCCUCCACCAGUACCUGUCCUGUACCACACAGGAGCAUCUCCCAGACCUAACCCUGAGUAAACUAGAAUGGACAUCAGACAGAGGACAACAAUAACCUCCGGGUGAUAUGUCUGACCUAGCAAGGUCAUAGGUCAGAUAUGUAAAAGGUUGCACCUUGCCUCUAAGCCAGUAAGAUUAGAGCAGUACAGCACUUUAUCAUUCCUUAUUACUGGAAUCUGAAGCGAUGUAUUUUCUCUGUAUCCCAGUUUUCUACACCAUCAGCUAGGAGAUCUGUCACAACGUUAUUUUCAUUCAACAAAGCCUCAUAGCGGUUAUGAACUUGGGCAAACAUUAUUGUAGUGGCACCAUGUUGAACUUGUUCAUUUUCAACUGUAGCCUACACAAAUCAAACCAAAAUGUUAUGAUCAAAUAAACAAGCAAUAAAACGUUUUUUUUUUUUAAUUGUUUGGUUAAAGUUUGUUGUAUUGUUCAUGCGUGCCUACAAGCUGCUAGGUGUAUAUGGUUCCAGGUGAAGAGAAACGAAAGAGCGAGUGGGAGGAGUUUAUUGAGGUACAACCAAUCAGAAAACUAUUUUGUUGACAACUAGUUGAAGCAACAGAUGAUGACAUUCACUUUUUAUUACCAGCAGUCAAAUUCAGCUAACCAUUAUGAUACUAAUAUCUGGUGAUGUUGAUACUGUUCUGUCAUUGCACACCUAUCUAGAUAUGAAUGUCAAAAAGUGAUAAAACAGCUUGCAGGCCCAGUCUGUAGUUCCACCACCAGCUGAACCUGAUACUGUUUGACUAGUAACUCUUUAUUUUCUGUCAGAACCAUAGACUUAGAUAGAACACAUCAUUAUUGUAUCUGCCCCAUUAUGGUGUCUGUGAGAGCACAGGCAGUGCCAUUGAGGCCAUCUCCAUUUUGAAGUAGUCCAUUUUCUUCUUCUACUACUUUUACUGGUAAACAAGCUGAAAGGGUGCAUACUGCCUCCUAGACUGGGUUGUUUGAACAAGUAUAAAGCCGAUUUAGUUUCCUUAUAUGAACUGUAACUCAGUAAAAUCAUUGAAAUUGCUGCAUGUUGCGUUUAUAUUUUAGAUUAGUAUAGAAUUGUCAACGACUCCAGUCACCCAAGUCAUAGACUGUUCUCUCUGCUACCGCACGGCAAUCGGUACCGGAGAGUCAAGUCUAGGUCCAAAAGGCUCCUUAAAACACCUUCUACGCACAAGCCAUAAGACUGCUGAAUAAUUAAUCAAAUGGCCACCUGGACUAUUUGCGUUGACCCCUCCCCCCUUAGCUUUAUACACUGCUGCUACUGACAGUUUAUUAUCUAUGCAUAGUCACUUUACCCCUACCUACAUGUACAAAUUACCUCGACUAACCUGUACCCCCGCACACUGACUCAGUACUGAAUAAAUCCUCAUUAUUGUUA